GUAGGGAGAGAUAGCGUGGGGAGAAAUGCCAGAUAUAGAUGAAGGGCAAAUAGAGGCAGCAAACGACCUGGUUAUGUAUGCACCUAUGCAACAACCCUUCAUGACCUACACAUGUACCCCAGAACCUAAAGUAAAAA